GUUAAAAUGAACUUUUAUUUUUUUCCUUCUGUGAUUUUAUCCGAUCAAACAUUGCUGAUGGCAUGAAGUCACGGAAAACGCUAACGGGUUUUUUCACAUUGGCCUUUGUGGUUUGCAAACGCUACAUGUUCAAUUACCUCGGCUGAGCCCUGGGGAGUCUACGACGCAGGUAUGCAAAUUGCUUGAGAUAAACAUUUGAAGCAUGUUCUUGUUGAAGUGGACAAGAGUAAUGUGGUUAGUAUGUUGAAUGAUGAGUUCCUCGUAUCUAAUUCUGCUGCUGGUCUGGUUAGAAGCAGCUCUUGGUUUUCACAAACUUCAGCU
rnacentral:misc_RNA from 1 species